rnacentral:sRNA from 1 species
GCCAGGUGUGGUGGCCCACGCUUGUAAUCCCAGCAACUUGGGAGGCUGAGGCAGGAGGAUUGCAAGUUAGCAGGCCAACCAUUUAGUGAGACCCUGUCUCAA